UGGCUCAGGAUGAACGCUAGCGGCAGGCUUAACACAUGCAAGUCGAGGGGCAGCGGGGAGGAAGCUUGCUUUCUCCGCCGGCGACCGGCGCACGGGUGAGUAACACGUAUGCAACCUGCCCCUGUCAGGGGGACAACCCGCCGAAAGGCGGGCUAAACCCGCGUACAUGCCACCGGGGCAUCCCGGAGGCAGGAGAGGCUUCGGCCGGACAGGGAUGGGCAUGCGGCGCAUUAGGCAGUAGGCGGGGUAACGGCCCACCUAACCGACGAUGCGUAGGGGCUCUGAGAGGAAGGUCCCCCACACUGGUACUGAGACACGGACCAGACUCCUACGGGAGGCAGCAGUGAGGAAUAUUGGUCAAUGGUCGGGAGACUGAACCAGCCAAGCCGCGUGAGGGAUGAAGGUACAGAGUAUCGUAAACCUCUUUUGUCAGGGAACAAAGGCGGGGACGUGUCCCCGGAUGAGUGUACCUGAAGAAAAAGCAUCGGCUAACUCCGUGCCAGCAGCCGCGGUAAUACGGAGGAUGCGAGCGUUAUCCGGAUUUAUUGGGUUUAAAGGGUGCGCAGGCGGUCUGUUAAGUCAGCGGUCAAAGCCCGGGGCUCAACCCCGGCCCGCCGUUGAAACUGGCAGUCUCGAGUUGGAGAGAAGUAUGCGGAAUGCGCGGUGUAGAGGUGAAAUGCAUAGAUAUCGCGCAGAACUCCGAUUGCGAAGGCAGCAUGCCGGCUCCACACUGACGCUGAGGCACGAAAGCGUGGGUAUCGAACAGGAUUAGAUACCCUGGUAGUCCACGCAGUAAACGAUGAAUGCUGGCUGUCCGGGGGGGAUUGACCCCUGGGUGGCGAAGCGAAAGCGAUAAGCAUUCCACCUGGGGAGUACGCCGGCAACGGUGAAACUCAAAGGAAUUGACGGGGGCCCGCACAAGCGGAGGAACAUGUGGUUUAAUUCGAUGAUACGCGAGGAACCUUACCCGGGCUCAAACGGGGAGUGACUCAGGCAGAGACGCCUGUUUCCCACGGGACACUCCCCGAGGUGCUGCAUGGUUGUCGUCAGCUCGUGCCGUGAGGUGUCGGCUUAAGUGCCAUAACGAGCGCAACCCCCGCGUGCAGUUGCUAACAGAUAACGCUGAGGACUCUGCACGGACUGCCGGCGCAAGCCGCGAGGAAGGCGGGGAUGACGUCAAAUCAGCACGGCCCUUACGUCCGGGGCGACACACGUGUUACAAUGGGUGGUACAGCGGGAAGCCAGGCGGCGACGCCGAGCGGAACCCGAAAUCCACUCUCAGUUCGGAUCGGAGUCUGCAACCCGACUCCGUGAAGCUGGAUUCGCUAGUAAUCGCGCAUCAGCCAUGGCGCGGUGAAUACGUUCCCGGGCCUUGUACACACCGCCCGUCAAGCCAUGGGAGCCGAGGGCGCUUGAAGUGCGUCGCCGCGAGGCGCGCCCUAGAGCGAAAUCGGUGACUGGGGCUAAGUCGUAACAAGGU
rnacentral:rRNA from 1 species